rnacentral:rRNA from 1 species
AUUGAACGCUGGCGGCAGGCCUAACACAUGCAAGUCGAGCGGAUGAAGGGAGCUUGCUCCUGGAUUCAGCGGCGGACGGGUGAGUAAUGCCUAGGAAUCUGCCUGGUAGGGGGGGAUAACGUCCGGAAACGGGCGCUAAUACCGCAUACGUCCUGAGGGAGAAAGUGGGGGAUCUUCGGACCUCACGCUAUCAGAUGAGCCUAGGUCGGAUUAGCUAGUUGGUGGGGUAAAGGCCUACCAAGGCGACGAUCCGUAACUGGUCUGAGAGGAUGAUCAGUCACACGGGAACUGAGGCAGCGUCCAGGCUCCUACGGGAGGCAGCAGUGGGGAAUGUUGGGCAGUGGGCGAAAGCCUGAUCCAGCCAUGCCGCGUGUGUGAAGAAGGUCUUCGGAUUGUAAAGCACUUUAAGUUGGGAGGAAGGGCAGUAAGUUAAUACCUUGCUGUUUUGACGUUACCAACAGAAUAAGCACCGGCUAACUUCGUG